UAAGAUGGUUCUUAUUUCCUCCAAGAUGGCU
rnacentral:piRNA from 1 species